GAAUGAUAAAAGUUAAAGCUUAGGGUUAAAGCUGGGUAUUUUUCCCUCUUAUUGCAUUGUACCCGCUUCAUUCUCUUCUUCUUAUUGCAUUGUCUGAGCUUAGGGUUAGCAUCGCGGUCUUCAUUCUCUCUUGUUCACGGCUAAAAUUGGCAGCAGAAUUCAACAAUAUUAUGAGUUCUCUUGCAAUUGUUCUGGGAUUAAGAGUUGGAGCAUAAGAAUUUAGUUGAUAAUCGUACUAGAGAAAAUGCAUGGGUAAAAGCAUAGAUUCAUUGUCGAGAAUUUGGUGAUUGGUUUAAGAAAAAAGUUCAAAAAAAGUUGAAGUGCCAAAUCAUUUAAGAUGGUUAGCUAUAUGGCCUAAUUUUGUGGCUAAAAGAUAUACUGGAUAUUUCAUUAAUGGAUAUCGAUUCCAUACAAUGACACAGGAUAUUUCAGGCAAGACUCAAAAUAGUGAAGUGGCUUUGUCAGCAAUAACAUAUAGUUUUGAUUGUGCUAGAGACCCAAAUCCUGUCGAUGGAAUGGUUAUCUAUUAUGGAGUUAUUGAAGAUAUCAUCAAGAUAGAUUAUUGGAGUUGCUUUAGUGUUCUACUAUUUAAAUGUGAUUGGUUUCAUAAUGAAGCAGAUGAAUAUGGGUUGGCUCAUGUAAAUUUUAAUAGAAAAUGCAGUACAGAUGACCCUUUUGUAUUAGCAUCACAAGUGCAUCAAGUGUUUUAUGUGGAAGAUCCAAUUGAGAAAGGGAUUUACUAUGCUAGAAAUAAAGUCUCUAUUGAUCUGUAUGAUUUGGAGCAAGAAAGUUGUCCCAAUAUUGAAUAAACAUUUUGGAGGGAGCCUAAUGAUGACAUUGGUUCAUUAGAAAGAGUAGUCGAUGUUGGUGUCAGAUGAUCGAGAGACGAUCUCCCUGUUGAUAUCAUUGAUGUGCCUUCCCUUGCCCAACAUUUUAAAGAUGUAGAAAUAUUAGAAGAGGAGGAUGACAUUGAUGAUACCAAUUGGAAUUGGAUGAAAGCUGAUGAUCGACAAAAUUUAGAUAUUCUGAACUUGUUUAAAAUUUAUUUGUAAUGUAUUCAUUUUUCUGCAUCGUCUCUGAGCAAUCUAUAGCUUCAAAUUGCCCAAGGAAAAGUUCAGAUGCAUAUUCAAUUCCUUAUAUGCUGUACUACUGAGAACAUACCAGUGCUAUCUGCCUUCUGUGUUAAUCUGUCCCACUUCAUAUUUAAAUUGUUUUAACUCUGCCAUUGUUUUGGGGAAGGAGCUUAUAAUUUCCAACUCCCAAUCAUUCAAGUUUCUUCGUAGCUAUUCGCGCUGGCACUCAACCUGGCAAAAAAGUUGUCCUAAAAAAGAAAGGAAUAAAAGGACGGAAUUCCUACUCAUUUGGAGAUUAGUUUGUCCACUUUAAUGUCAACAUUCCCACGUAAAUUCCCUUUGUGUAAAAUGUGGAAAUGACUGUCAAUUACUGCACUUUUUACUAUCCUAGACUCUUUUCUAAGCCUAAUCUUGAGAAAAGUAGGAGGUUUUAUAGUUUGGUGGCCUCUAAAUUAAUUCUUAAUACAUCUACUGGACACCUGUGAAGCUUCCUGUAUAUUCUUCGAUCUAAUAAUUAAAUUUGCAACUUGGGUGCGGAAACUUGACACCAAGACAACGUCAAUUGAUUGAGGAGUUUGCCAAAGAAGAGAAAGGGGAAUACGAUAAAGGGGCUUCAGCAGGAGCCUCGAGGUGAGGGCACAGUACACGAGGUAGGUUAGGGGAUAUAGACGCAAAUUAAAGUUGUACUAUCACGUAUUCUUUCUCAUGGGCUCGGAAACUUAGCCAGAGCAAUUUUGCGGUUUGGUCAUCACCACUCCUUGCUUAUUUUGAUUCUGUUUCAUUUGAUGGUCUUUUCGUGUUGCCUAUGGCAAUUUGGAUGAUUAUAGUUACAUAUUUUAGUUAUCCUUUCGAUUUAUUCAGUUUUGGCUGUCUUAUAUGUUCAUUAAUUUUUCUUGUUCCAUCUUAAAUUUAUACAGGUUUGUAUAAAAUGAAUCAAUAAGAGCCUUCAAAAAAUAGCAAAAGAGCAAAGAACAGGACGUUUAGUAAACCUGGAUCGUUAUCAGUCAUGGCAAAUAGAAAAUGAAAAUGACGUAUGCUGGCAACACAGAAAACUGUUCAAGCUAUACGAUCGGAGAAAGAGAAUCUUCUAAAGUUAAUUGAACAAAAGAAGCCACAAGCAGCACCACCAACAUCACCAUCUAGCAAAUUGAACAAUCUGUAGUGGAGCACCAUGUUGUAGAGAUGCAGAGAAUGAGCAACAUGUAGAGGAUCAGGUCCAAAUGACAGAUUCAGCCACUCCUACAACAACUGAACAUUCUGAUGCGCAAGCUGAAGGGCCUUCAACUAGCAAAACAAGAUGCAAAACACAAAUGCACAAGGUAUAUGGCCGGCAAGAGAAAAAAUUGACCAUAUUAAACCAGAAUAACCAACCUAUUGGUCCUACAGAUGAAGUUGUAACCAAGUUGGGAAGCUUUCUAAGGACAUUGGCAAAGAAAGCGACCCUUGCCCAUUAGAUAUAUUUGAUUGGAGACAUAUGGAUACUAUACAGGAGUUAUGGGAGCAUACCCAGGCUCAAGUGGAGGAAAUUAAAACACAACAGAAUACAAAUGAAUAGCCCGUUGAUGCAUUUUCAGCCGUCAUGGGUGUUGAACAUCUGGGGCGUGUAAGACUGAUUGGAGGAGGAUUACAAAGGCUUCUUUGAAAUGAUUAAAUGACAAUUCUGGAUAAACUUUAAAUGCCACAAAUGAUGUUGUACAACAAAUGCAA